GAGUUGUAAGCUGUCACAGUUAACCAUUAUUGGGGAUUCACUGAAACAAUGUCUUAAUAACAGAUCACUGUGUCUCUAAAGUUUACUUGUAACUUGUGACUUGCAUGAAGUUAAGCUGUCACUGGUUCUAAUCAUUCCAUUUGCUUCCAAAAAGAAACCAUCUUCACUGAGCAGGAAUAUGCGAGGGAUCUUGAUUUCAUAUACUUAGGCUUGGUUUCUCAAUGAUUUUGUGCUCAUUGGAUUUCAAGGGUGGCUAAGGGUGCGUUUACUCAAGGAAAAAUAGCAUGGUUUUCUGGAAAAUUUUUCUAAUAAAACUGCAAAAUAGAAAGAUUUUCUAAGAAAACUAAAAAAUAGUUUUGUUCAACUGUAAAAAUUUUCUAAAUGGAAAACUGAAAACCUAAUUUCCAAUUCUCUAAAGGUAUAACAAUUCUUGGGAAACAGGUUUAUGAUCUUUGCCAUUUUUUUCUUUUAUUCAUGAG
rnacentral:misc_RNA from 1 species